rnacentral:rRNA from 1 species
UACGGGGGGGGCAAGCGUUGUUCGGAAUUACUGGGCGUAAAGGGCGCGUAGGCGGCCUUCUAAGUCGAACGUGAAAUCCCCGGGCUCAACCCGGGAACUGCGUCCGAUACUGGAAGGCUUGAAUCCGGGAGAGGGAUGUGGAAUUCCAGGUGUAGCGGUGAAAUGCGUAGAUAUCUGGAGGAACACCGGUGGCGAAGGCGACAUCCUGGACCGGUAUUGACGCUGAGGCG